GCUGCUGCUGGUCGGUGUGUAAAUGUGGCGGCAGGACGGUCGGCGCCAGGUAUUACAACCUGACAGACAGUCAAGACAAGAGAAGAGGAGGGGGGAAGGUUUAUGUACCCCCAGGUGAGAACGAAAAAGAAUCGAGAGAUUUUUCUUUUUUAUUUAAAAAUAAAAUCAUUAUUGCAUCGUCAGCGUCCGGACUUUGUUGAAUGAAUUUUUUUAUUUUGUCUGGAUAAGAUUUGUUUUUUUUAAUUAUUAUUAAAAUAAAAAAGGGAAUUAAAUGGCGAACGGUAGCAGCUACCCAGCUAGCUAGAGAAUAGAGAAUGAGAUUUUAUUUACAAGUAUAACAAUGUUCUGUGUUCACGCACGAAUGACGGAAUGAGAGAAGCUGUGGAAAGCCUAAGAGGGUUCCUGCAGGGUCUGAUUAUGUUUCGGUCUUUCACAGUUUAAUUAUCUGCGGUUUUUUUUCGUGCAAAUCUUUACUUUUAUUGAGACGGACGAUUAGAUACACACACAAUCACGAUCCGUUCGAGCGUUGGUGAGACAACCGCUUUGAUCGUUUUGGAUUGAAAGGGUCGAUUUAAUUUUCUAUCGAUAUUUUAUCAUUUGGCUAAUUAGCAGAUUAGUGUCGUCUGCUUUCGUUUUGUUUACAAGUUACGAAAAAGAGAAUAAGUUCCAGAUUACAAAGUUAAAACGAACACUUUGUGCACGAGAAAUAGCAGAACAAAUAAAAUUACAAAAAUGUGGUCGUCGCGUGAACUUUGUGGUGUCACCAUGCUCUCCACUCUGUUCUCAGAUUGGAGGCCUGAGCCAGCCAUAUUGGCCAGCCAUAUUGGCAACACGAUAUGCAAGUUUUGCUUUUGCUGCUAUCUGAUCUGUCAUCAGCAGCAAUCUCAGUUUCAUCGCUUGGGUAAACAGCAUCCCAUGUAAAAUUGGUGACAUUCUUCCCAUGUGAGUGUGGGUUCACGACGAGUCUGAGGCCCCUUUUCCCACCUGCUGGUGGAUUCAACACUUAACUGCGGAUGGAUGGAGCACUUGUGGAUACCUGGCCAGGCUGAAAAGAAAUAAUUUCGAAUCAAAUUGCCAAUUUGCCAAACGGCGGUUUCAACUGG